GACGAACGCUGGCGGUGUGCUUAACACAUGCAAGUCGAGCGAUGAAGACUGGUGGUUGCACCAAUUUGAAGAGGAGCGAACGGGUGAGUAACGUGGGGGGGCUCUGCCUGUGAGCGGGGGACAACAUAUGGAAACGAAUGCUAACACCGCAUAAUAACUUUAAACAUAAGUUUUAAGUUAGAAAGAUGAAAUUGCAUCACACAGAGAUGAUCUCGCGUUGUAUUAGCUAGUUGGUGGGGUAAAGGCUCGCCAAGGCGAUGAUACAGAGCCGACCUGAGAGGGAGGCCGGCCACAUUGGGACGGAGACACGGCCCAAACGCCUACGGGAGGCGGCAGUAGGGACUCUGGGGCGAUGGACGGGAGUCUGUCCGAGCAAGGCCGAAUGCGUGAAGAAGGAAUUCGGAUCGUGAAACUCUGUUGGUAGAGAAGAGCGUUGGUGAGAGUGGGAAGCUGAGCAAGUGACGGUAACUGCCCAAGAAGACCCGGCUAACUACGUG
rnacentral:rRNA from 1 species